rnacentral:pre_miRNA from 1 species
UAUAGCAAUAGUUUUGCACUAUUUAUAUCUGAUGUUUGACUGUCUAUCUUAUUUUUUAAAAAAUAUGAUUAGUACAUUUAUUAUUAUUAGAUGAUGAAACAUGAAUAGUACUUUAGUUGUGAUUAUUUUUUUAUAAUUUUUUAAAUAAGACAGACAGUCAAACUUUGAACAUGAAAAAUCCAAAACUACACUUAAA